rnacentral:rRNA from 1 species
UCCUACGGGAGGCAGCAGUGGGGAAUAUUGGACAAUGGGCGAAAGCCUGAUCCAGCAAUGCCGCGUGGGUGAAGAAGGUCUUCGGAUUGUAAAGCCCUUUCGGCGGGGACGAUGAUGACGGUACCCGCAGAAGAAGCCCCGGCUAACUUCGUGCCAGCAGCCGCGGUAAUACGAAGGGGGCUAGCGUUGCUCGGAAUGACUGGGCGUAAAGGGCGCGUAGGCGGAUCGCACAGUCGGGCGUGAAAUUCCUGGGCUUAACCUGGGGGCUGCGUUCGAGACGUGGGGUCUAGAGUGGGGAAGAGGGUCGUGGAAUUCCCAGUGUAGAGGUGAAAUUCGUAGAUAUUGGGAAGAACACCGGUGGCGAAGGCGGCGACCUGGUCCUUGACUGACGCUGAGGCGCGAAAGCGUGGGGAGCAAACAGGAUUAGAUACCCUGGUAGUCCACGCUGUAAACGAUGUGCGCUGGAUGUUGGGCGGCCUAGCCGCUCAGUGUCGUAGCUAACGCGAUAAGCGCACCGCCUGGGGAGUACGGCCGCAAGGUUGAAACUCAAAUGAAUUGACG